AUCUACCACGACGGCGAGGACACCAAGAUGAUUGUAGGUGAGGAGAAGAAGUUCCUGCUGCCCUUCUGGCUGCAGGUCAUCUUCAUCUCGCUCCUCCUCUGCCUCUCGGGCAUGUUCAGCGGCCUCAACCUGGGCCUCAUGGCCCUGGACCCCAUGGAGCUGCGCAUCGUGCAGAACUGUGGCACGGACAAAGAGAAGAACUACGCCAAGCGCAUCGAGCCCGUGCGGCGCCAGGGCAACUACCUGCUCUGCUCCCUCCUGCUGGGCAAUGUCCUGGUCAACACCACGCUUACCAUCCUGCUGGACGACAUCGCCGGCUCCGGGCUGGUGGCCGUGGUGGUCUCCACCAUCGGUAUCGUCAUCUUCGGCGAGAUCGUGCCGCAGGCCAUUUGCUCUCGGCACGGCCUGGCCGUGGGCGCCAACACCAUCUUCCUCACUAAAUUUUUCAUGAUGAUGACCUUCCCGGCCUCCUACCCCGUCAGCAAGUUGCUGGACUGUGUCCUGGGCCAGGAGAUCGGCACGGUCUAUAACCGUGAGAAGUUGUUGGAGAUGCUGCGGGUCACCGACCCUUAUAACGAUCUAGUCAAGGAGGAGCUCAACAUUAUCCAAGGAGCCCUGGAGCUGCGCACCAAGACGGUGGAGGACGUGAUGACUCCCCUCCGAGACUGCUUCAUGAUCGCUGCCGAGGCUGUGCUCGACUUCAACACUAUGUCCGAGAUCAUGGAGAGCGGUUAUACCCGCAUCCCCGUUUUCGAGGGUGACCGCUCCAACAUCGUGGACCUGCUCUUCGUUAAGGACCUGGCUUUUGUGGACCCUGAUGACUGCACUCCGCUCAAGACCAUCACCCGCUUCUACAACCAUCCGCUGCACUUUGUCUUCAACGACACCAAGCUCGAUGCCAUGCUGGAGGAGUUCAAGAAAGGUGGGCUCGUGCCUGUGGCGGGGGUGUGGGGGUGCCGCUCGGUGGCGGGGAGCGUCUGCCUUCCUGCAGCGAGCUGGCCGGGAAGGCGGAGGAGCUCUGCAGAGAGGUCCUCUCGGGUUCCUGCUUGCGGAGGGGUUUGGGAAGGUGCAUUCGGGACAGAGAGUGGCCUGCAUUUAGGCAUCUGCCAGAUCUGCCCGUUCCCUUGGCCAGAAAACUGA